GACGAACGCUGGCGGCGUGCUUAACACAUGCAAGUCGAGCGGUAAGGCCCUUUCGGGGGUACACGAGCGGCGAACGGGUGAGUAACACGUGGGUGACCUGCCCUCAGCUCUGGGAUAAGCCUGGGAAACCGGGUCUAAUACUGGAUAUGACUCCAUGACGCAUGUUGUGGGGUGGAAAGCCUUGUGCGGCUGAGGAUGGGCCCGCGGCCUAUCAGCUUGUUGGUGGGGUGAGNGGCCUACCAAGGCGACGACGGGUAGCCGGCCUGAGAGGGCGACC
rnacentral:rRNA from 1 species